UUGUGUUUUUAAUAUAUAUAUUUUUUAUUGAUUUCAGAGAGGAAGGGAGAGAGAAGUCUGUCCCAGUCUGGUGUGUUGUUGCUUUUUUUAUUCACACACUUACAUAUUUUUUCUUUCUAUAUAUUGGUAAUGAUAAAGCUUAAAAUGCUUACUCUGAAAUAAGCACAUGUGAGGAAUAUACGUAAAUGAUUUAUGUUUCAGAAACUAAAGUUGAAAACGUCUUCCACACCCUCAGAUUCAGGCUAUUCUGGUGGCCGGGCUUUCCCUCAGCUGUGAGCUGCCGCGGCUCACGAGAACGAUAAUGGCCAAGCCCGUUUCUCACCCAGGGCCGUGGACAGGAGGCCGAGUGCUCCCGGGAACUUUCCCGAUGGGAAGGGCAACUCCUCCCACAGCAGCAGGACCCGCACGGGAGUGUGGGCGGAGGCACCUGAUCUGCGCAGACACCUGCGGACUCAGCUCCCGGAGCUCACUGCUUGGAUAUCACAAUGAGUAACAAAGCAUCGUUAUGGUCAAAAUGUCCACCGUGCAUCUACCCUAGCCAUGUAAGAGAAGACACUCAAUUGUGAAAUCCAGAGUUAGAAGAAAGUGACUUCAACUCUAAACGAAAACGGUAGUAAAAUGUAGCCAGCGCUUGGGAAUUAGCCCGAGUUGCCUGUCAUUCAACAAACAGGAACAGACCAGCAUGAGCUGGAGACCACAGCCGCGGCCGUGAGCGCCGACUUCUGCUUCUCCAGAGAAGAACAGAAGCCAACAGCUGCACACACAGCGGGCUCUCUAACUGUCCCAUCGCAACUGCACCUGAGAACAACGAUCACACAGGACCUUGCCCUGAGAGUCUGGAGAAGAGACUUCAAUGUUAAGCGCUCACUUCGCGAUGCACUCCUGGGACUCGCCAUCACUUCUGAGUUUGUGGUACACCACCGCGCCCACGGCCAGCGGCCCAGCGUCUCCGCAGA